rnacentral:rRNA from 1 species
GGCUCAGGAUGAACGCUGGCGGCGUGCCUAAUACAUGCAAGUCGAACGCGAGCAGCAAUGCUCGAGUGGCGAACGGGUGAGUAAUACAUAAGUAACCUGCCCUAGACAGGGGGAUAACUGCUGGAAACGGCAGCUAAGACCGCGUAGGUAUGGACACUGCAUGGUGACCAUAUUAAAAGUGCCAAGGCACUGGUAGAGGAUGGACUUAUGGCGCAUUAGCUGGUUGGUGAGGUAACGGCUCAUCAAGGCGACGAUGCGUAGCCGACCUGAGAGGGUGACCGGCCACACUGGGACUGAGACACGGCCCAGACUCCUACGGGAGGCGGCAGUAGGGAAUUUUCGGCAAUGGGGGGAACCCUGACCGAGCAACGCCGCGUGAAGGAAGAAGGAAUUCGUUCUGUAAACUUCUGUUAUAAAGGAAGAACGGCGGACAUAGGGAAUGAUAUCCGAGUGACGGUACUUUAUGAGAAAGCCACGGCUAACUACGUGCCAGCAGCCGCGGUAAUACGUAGGUGGCGAGCGUUAUCCGGAAUUAUUGGGCGUAAAGAGGGAGCAGGCGGCGGCAGAGGUCUGUGGUGAAAGACUGAAGCUUAACUUCAGUAAGCCAUAGAAACCGGGCUGCUAGAGUGCAGGAGAGGAUCGUGGAAUUCCAUGUGUAGCGGUGAAAUGCGUAGAUAUAAGGAGGAACACCAGUGGCGAAGGCGACGGUCUGGCCUGUAACUGACGCUCAUUCCCGAAAGCGUGGGGAGCAAAGGGGAUUAGAUACCCUAGUAGUCCACGCCGUAACCCUUAAAGGGGGAAGUGUUGGGAGUCAAAAAUCAGUGCUGCAGUUAACGCAAUAAGUACUCCGCUUGAGUAGUACGUUUGCAAGAAUGGAAAAUCAAAGGAAAUGACGGGGGCCCGCACAAGCGGUGGAGCAUGUGGUUUAAUUAGAAGCAACGCGAAGAACCUUACCAGGUCUUGACAUCCGGAUAAAGACCUCAGA